AACGCUAGCUACAGGCUUAACACAUGCAAGUCGAGGGGAAACGGCAUUAUGUGCUUGCACAUUUUGGACGUCGACCGGCGCACGGGUGAGUAUCGCGUAUCCAACCUUCCCUCCACUCGGGGAUACCCCGUUGAAAGACGGCCUAAUACCCGAUGUUGUCCACAUAUGGCAUCUGACGUGGACCAAAGAUUCAUCGGUGGAGGAUGGGGAUGCGUCUGAUUAGCUUGUUGGUGCGGGUAACGGCCCACCAAGGCGACGAUCAGUAGGGGUUCUGAGAGGAAGGUCCCCCACAUUGGAACUGAGACACGGUCCAAACUCCUACGGGAGGCAGCAGUGAGGAAUAUUGGUCAAUGGACGGAAGUCUGAACCAGCCAAGUAGCGU
rnacentral:rRNA from 1 species